UUUUGGUCAACGAACGAUUCACAUCAAAGUUCGCGAAAGAAAGAAUCACUGUAGAAUGAAUGUUCCACAGUCAACUACUAAAUUUUCCAAAUAGGUACCUAUCGCUUGGGAACGAAUAAAUCACUAAUCAAGAUGAAUGUUUCGAGAACGAAUUGCUCAAUUUUGCCAACAAAAAUUAAAAAUUUGCUCAGUUUUGUUAAUUUACGCAAAUUGAUGGCUAAUCUAACCAGCUUAACAUUUUCUCAUUAAAAUACAUAAGUACUUAUAUUAUUCCAUUAUCUUUUUCUUUUUUUUUUUUUUUGCAAAAAAUUCCAUCAACAGCUUUUCUUUUUUACAUGUAAGUUCGUCACUUGUAGAUAACCCAUUACCUAGCUCUACAAAAACAAUAUUUCACCUAAUUUUCACCUUUACAAAUUCACCAAGUACAAGAAAACUUAUCAAACUUUUGUAUGUAAAAAAAAAACAACAACAACAACAACAACAACUAUUGAGAACCUCGAACAGGAAACCCUAUCAACUAUUGCGCAAUAUUUGAAACCGCGUAAAAAAAUUCUAUACCGAUUUUUGUUCAAUUGUUACGUGGCACAAAAAAAUGGCUCUAAAUUUGAGAAACCUGUUGCCCAUUUUGGGCCUAGGCCUCCUAGUAUGUUUAUCAUUCGGUAAUUUUAUCUUUGUAGAUGCGAAUCUGCAAUCGGUGGUGUCUUUGAAUAUGCUUUUAUUCGUAUUCGGAUUAUUUUUGGUACCGUUAUUUUUCAUGAUUCCGAUCGGACCUCUGUUUUUCAUCGGUUACGUGUUGUUUGUUAUUGGCGCAGACUUUUACGUAUUUUUCCAACCGUGAAUUAUCGAUAAUCAACAGUAAUCUAUACGAAGGUGACUUGGAAUUUGAAAAGGACGUAUGUAUUUUUUAGCUCGAUAAAUAAAUGGAAUAAAAUUGUUUAUUUUUAAAAUAUAGAUAUAUUUUUCACUGGUAAUAAAAUUUUUAGUCGCCGA